AGUCACUGACAUUAGAUACCCCUGUAGUCCAGGGUGUAAACGCUGCAGACUCGGUGUUGGAAGCCCUUUGGGGGCAUUCAGUGCCGGAGAGAAGUUGUUAAGUCUGCUACUUGGGAGUACGUCCGCAAGGAUGAAACUUAAAGGAAUUGGCGGGGAGCACCGCAACGGGAGGAGCGUGCGGUUUAAUUGGAUUCAACACCGUAAAACUCACCAGGGAAGACUGUUACAUGAAGGCCGAGAUGAAGACUCUGCUAGAUUUUCAG
rnacentral:rRNA from 1 species